rnacentral:rRNA from 1 species
GACGAACGCUGGCGGCGUGCUUAACACAUGCAAGUCGAACGGAAAGGCCUGCUUUCCCUUGUGGAUUGCGGGUACUCGAGUGGCUAACGGGUGAGUAACACGUGAGUGAUCUGCCCCCAACUUGGGUAUAAGCCUGGGAAACUGGGUCUAAUUCCCGAUAGGACUGCAGGGUGGUGCCUGUGGUGGAAAACGAUUUUCUAGUGGUUGGGGAUGAGCUCGCGGCCUAUCAGCUUGUUGGUGGGGUAAUGGCCUACCAAGGCGGCGACGGGUAGCCGGCCUGAGAGGGUGGACGGACACAUUGGGACUGAGAUACGGCCCAGACUCCGACGGGAGGCAGCAGUGGGGAAUAUUGCACAAUGGGCGGAAGCCUGAUGCAGCGACGCCGCGUGGGGGAUGACGGCCUUCGGGUUGUAAACUCCUUUCGACCGCGAGGAAGCCACCUGGUUGGAAGGGUGGUGACGGUAGUGGUAGAAGAAGCACCGGCUAACUACGUG